CAUCGAACUGCUUCCCUCACAUUCGAUCAGUUGUUUGCUCCAAGAGUUAAUGUUGGAUGCAAAGAGUGAGUUCCUGUGUUGCAUACCUAUUGCGACGGAAGUUUGUGCCUUUAGCGGUCCCUUCGAUCAGAGCAUCCUUUCGGAUGCUCGGUUGGACCAGAUGGUCGGCCUUGUGCUCCAUGAACGCAUCUCAUUGGAUCGUUCGUGUGGAUCAUGAGUGCCUACUUGUCCUCUCGGAUGCGGAACCCUUUUCAUGGGUAUUGUGGUCAUUGGCCCUUGUUCCCAAAAUCAUAAAGCGCUCGUCGCUUUUUACUGGAACGACGCUCUUGCCUUGUCCUUGACCAAGUGGAGCUCUCGGGCUUCAUGAUGGAUCAUGCUGGGCGGACGUCGUGAAGGAAUGCU
rnacentral:misc_RNA from 1 species